CUUGAAUAUGCCUUGCUCAGGGGAGAAGUUUGCCCAAACCGUUACAUAUUAGUGAGUGCACUGUAAUUCUUUCUUUUAAGCAUCUAGCUACUUCUGAAGCUCUCGUUUUGGUUCUCAUUUCAAUAUUCUGUAAUUGAAUACAGAUAUAUGUCUGAAAUAGAGAACUGUGGGAAAAAUAGUACAUAGUACAUUUCAGCGCAACACUGUCAACGAGCAGAGGAAUUUUAAAGAUUUCUCUGAAUGAGAGCAUGAGCACCCUGUCGACAACUAAGAAAGUCUCCUACUGCAUAUGUGUACUACCAAAGAUGAUGCUUAACAUAGAGAAGAACAUGCAUCAGUAAGUGUAGAAAAGUCACAACUGACUGGUCUCUGCAAUGCCGUUACUGCUGCUGCUACAGAGUCCAGGUAAAAUAUUCUGCAUUGACUGAGUUAAGAGAUUACACUAAACCAAGCAAGUUUAGGGAUAUGGCAGAUGUCUUCACUUUUGUUUCCUUUCAUUGCUGAUGAGGAUUACCUUAUGAUUUAACCAACAUCCCGAUUACAAGG
rnacentral:lncRNA from 1 species